CCUCAAGUAUUUUUGGAGAACGAAGGUCUAUAUGCUCAUGUAUAGUUGGUGCCGUUGUCGAGGACUUGGCAGCUAAUACUUUGUUAAGUUUUGUGUUUUUGCAGGUACCCUUUUAAUCUUGGGCGUAUUGUAGCUUGUGCGACCAAGCUGCAAACAAUAAUUGAAGUAUAGGUGAUGCAUCGAAAGUCAAUAUUAACCCUGAGAUCGAAAGGUUAUCUGUCGCUUGAGCUGGAAGCAAUCUUAAGCGCAUGUCAACCAUCAUGCAUCCAACAAUUGCUGAAAGCUCCAAUGGUCAGGGCGAGUCCCUUGACCCAAGUAGUUGAGAGCUAUCUCCUGCAUGGGAGACUCCUUACAGUGAGAACACUUCAAUUCCUCCAGGGACGCCUUCUAUUCUAUCUUUACGUUGCUUUCUUAGUUUAGUUUAUUAUUUUUAUUUAUUGUUAUUUUGGAUAUGCGGCUGCUUCCUUGGUUGUGGUGUGUUUGCUCCUUGUAGGUGCGAUAAUAACUCUCCUCAGUGCACAGUUACAAUGGAAGAAUCCUUCACAUCCUUCAACGCAUGGCUUCAAUCGCAUAAAUUCCAACGCAUUGUCACAUGCUUUAUUCUACUUAAGGGUUCGUGAUUGGAUUGAGAAGAAAAAGUUUUUCGUGAAGGCUUAUUUGGCUUCAAGUGAAGUCAUGCUUUGGAUUUGGAUCAAAUCUGUGGUGGAUGGUGGAGAGAACAUAAUGAAGGACAAUUGAAAGACUAUGUUUGGAAAACACCAUCUAAUGACAACAAGUGUGUGUGCACUUUAGUGUAUAUUUACAGAGUUUUAGUUUGUACUCUAUAUCUUAAAAGUAAGUUCUGUAUCUAACAAAAUUUUAAUUUUGCUAUGUAACCCUUAUGAAUUUUAUGGUAAUUUGUUGAUUACCUUGG